GCUUUGGUUGCCUAGUGGUUAGAGCGUCCACCUCGGAUGCGGGAGGUCGUGGGUUCUAUCCCCGGUUGAGCCA